UCAAGAAAAUGUGUGCAAUACAUAUGUACUGUGAAGAAUAGCUUUGACCUCAAGAGUUGAGAUUACUUAAUGUACUCAUGCUUUUACUAUUCACAUGCACAUUGAAUUGUUCACAUGUCCACAGCCUAGACACUUGUUUUGUAGUACUGAUGUUCUUGUUAUAUUUGGAUCAUUUGAAUGAUUGCUGGUUCCUUUUUGUAGUAUGGAUUCGUUUGAAUGAUUUUUGUUUGGAAAUAUAUGCUAGCAUAGUUUGCAAGGCUAAGAUGCAUAGCAGGCUAGCAGCUAGUAUGUAAAGCUAGCACACUUGUGAAUUAAAGAAGCUACCUUUUGUAGUUAACUGAACCAGUUUCUUUCCACUUAUUAACCUUUUUGCACAUGGGUAUGUGUACAUUAAACAGACCAUGUAAUAAUAUUUAUGUAGGAGCAAUUUACACUCUGAACUUUCUUUAGGCGCCUUCUAAUGGAUUGCUACCGGAUGAAAACAAUGUUUUCUUUUGCUUUGUUCGUCAAGGUUUUAAGGAUAAUACUGCUUUGCAAUUAUAUGGCUCUGGCCCUCUAUGGUUAGUUUAAGUUUGAUAAUUAGUUUGUUUACCAACGUGAUACCUACUCUAAAAAUUAUGUAAUCGUUGCAGCUGAUAUGUGUAAUUACCUUGUGCUAGCAGCUCACUUUUUUUCGUUUCCUUGUGUUUGCAGCACAUGAAUGGAUCCAUUUAAGAAAUGUCCUAAUUACAUGCAUAGAUGGAUCUGAUGAAUAAUCUCCAAGUAAAGUACACAAUUCGGAAGUACAAGGAUGAUUGGCUAGAACAAGAUAGUCACCUACACUCUACAAUCUGUAAAAUUAAUUUUGAAGCCGUGAAGUUGCGGCCGGCGGCGGCAACGCGAGGCACGUAGGGCCUUCUUUCCACGGCACACUGCGAGUAGCUCCUUGUAUGAAUUGGGGACACCGGUGUUCCGUGCUCUUCACUUGGGCAACAGCUGCUCACCAGCCUUCGCCAUCGUUGCUGGUUCCCUAUGGUCGGCAUCUUCGUGUCGGGGCCCGAAAACAAGUAUACCAUGGAGCGAGGGCCUUAUUUCCGCGGCACGCUGCAAGGAGCGCCUCCUCUGGAUUGGGGAAGUCAGUGUUCGUUGCUGAUCUUCACCUGGGAAGCAGCUGCACACCGAUCGGCAUCAUCCCGACAGAAAGUAUGCUGUGGAGGUGAAUGGGCCCGAUAGCUGGACGGGACGCGUCCACGUCCAUGUCGUGCAGGACGGUGGUCGAGUUGCUUGCCCGCAAGGGCCACCGAUGCUACCUCUUUGCUGCCGAUGUAGAGGAACUCGUCGACAUUGGCAUCUGAAGGUAGUCAGGUACUAAAUUUGGCCGCACUCUAAUGGAUUGCUAAUGGAUGGAGAUGAUGUUUGUUUUUCUUUGUUCGUCAAGGUUGUAGGGAUACUGCUUUGCAAUUAUAUGACUCCGGCCUUGUAUGGUUAGUGCAAGUUUGAUAAUUAGUUUGUUUACCUCUUUGAUACCUACUCUCAUAAUUUAAUCGUUGCAGCUGAUAUGUUUAGUUUCCCUGGGUUGGCAUCACACAUUUUCUCGUUUCUUGCGUUUGCAGCACAUGAACGGAUCUAUUUAACCAAUGCAUAAUUACACGCGCAGAUGGAUAUGAUGAAUAAUACCCCGAGUAGCUGACCCAAUUUCUAUGUUACUAAAUUUAGGAGUGGUUGAAUGGAUUGCUUCCCGAUGUUUAUGUUGAUUGGUUUUUGGUUUGUUCGUCGGCACUAGGUAUAUUCAGUUCAGUUAACUUUGUUUAAUUUUGAUGCACAACUCUGUUUAGCAGCGGUCGCUUAUUUUAUUUCUGUUAUACUAUUGCACUUUGAGUCUUGUCCUCAGCUAGACAAAAAAGGUUGUUACUAUUUGUUCAUCUUUAGCAUCUUUUUUUUUAAACGAGGAGCAUCUACUUGAAUUCUUUGUGCAAUACAAAGAGGUACCGUGAAGCAAACAUUUACCGGUGUUAUUGUAGCUUUUACCUCAAGAUUUGAGAUUACUUAAUGUACUAACGUUUUUGCUAUUCACAUGCACGUUGGAUUGUUCACAUGUUCUGAAUGUCACUGGGACCCUUUUCUAUUUUUUGACAGCCUGGACACUUUUUUUUGUAGUACUGAUAUUCUUAUAAUAUUUGUACCAUUUGAAUGAUUGCUUGUUCCAUUUUUGUAGUACAGAUCGUUUGAAUGAUCGUUGUUUAGAAAUAUAUAUAUGCCAGCAUAGUUUGCAAGGCAAGGAUGCAUAGCAGCUAGUAUGUAUAGCUAGCACACUUGUGAAUUGAAGAAGCUACCUUCUCUAGUUAACUGGGCAGUUUCUUUCCACUUAUUAACAUUUUUGCACCUGGGUGUGUGUACAUUCUGCAGAUCAUGUAACAAUAUGUAAAGUUGCUAAAUACGAUCUUCAUUUUAAAUUGGUGUUAUGUAGGAGCAGUUACUCUGAAAUUUCUUUGACUAUUUUGUGCUCAAUAUACGAAGACCGUGGUUGCUAACAAUCAAUUUUGUAGGUACAAAAUUCGGAAGUACAAGAAUGAUUGGCUAGAACAAGGUAGUCACUUACAGGACUCCACAGUCUCUAAAAACAAUUUUGAGCUAGAUGCAAGGUUCAUUGUGUAGGACAGCGAGAUUGAGUGGGGCGAGCUAUGCUAGCGCCACCGUAGGCCACACGCCUGAUGUUCAUGCCUUUCCGCUGCCAGGACCAAGGGCAGAGAGGCACCCAUGCCCUGACCUAGCUGCUAGACGACCUGAGCUCGGUUAGUGUUCUCAAUAUCAUCAACUCUCUACGGUUGGCACAAGGAACUGCCCUGCAAUAAACCCUUACAGGCAAACAAUUGUACUACCAGCCAGUCAGGAGUUGGACCUUGAUUAGAAAGAUCAGUGCUGGGCUAUGGCUAGGAGGGCAGUCCGUGACAGAUCGGUUGCACCUAGGUGAAGGAGAUGGUGUAAUAUUGAUUCUGAUCUUUGCUUGUCUUUUCUAAUCACCGGUUCCAACGGGUAGUCCCAAGGGCCAGGUGCUCUUGUGAUUUGCUCUUGGUUGGAUCUGGUGGUCAUGAUGUCGUGUUGGUUCCAGGUUAGCUAUCUGUUAGGAGGAUGGUUCACGGCUUUUGUAUCUGUGUCUGUGUGGUUACAUGUUGCUUCUUGCAUGAUGUAGUCCUUUGUUGUGGUCUUCUUUUCUGACCCUCGUGUGCUGUUAAUUCAAUCUGCUUUUACCAUUAUCCAGUCUGCUUUUGAUAAAUCAUUUAGUUCUGGAAGAGUGAUCUUUUUAUAUUUCUUUGAAUCUAAUUCUAUGGAAUAUUUCUAAGACAUGUUGUACUACUGUUUGAAACUUAGAAUUAUAGAGGACCUCGAAUCAACAUGGAGAUGUGAUCUUAUAAGUUAUCCUUUCAACAAAAAAUCUAAAUAAUAUAAAGGAUUAUAAUGUUACAGUCAGACCGAGAAGCUAUGAGUAGGAUUUACUAUUAUAGCAAAGUUCCAGCUCUAGCUUUGAAUUAUAUCGUGUUUAUGUGUUGAACCUUUCUUGGUAUGUUGUCAUGCAAGUGAUGGAAGGAUGAGCUGAUCAUCUUUGACCAGUGGCAGCUGCUCCUGACGGUGCUAGAGUAUAGAGAGCAUCAGGCUGCCGUGGCGUGCCCUCUGGUGGAGAUGCACAUCCGUGGAUAUGGAGAUGUCCAAAAGGUAGCGAGGGAGGCAUUUGUUAAUUUUUUCAAGUGAUGUUGUAGCUUGUGAGGUACUAGUAAGCUCAAGGUCCAAUGGUGCGGUAUCUUCAUUAUUUAUCUCAGAAUUAUAUGUGAUGCAGAGCUACAUACGAGGUUUAACUUUGAAGUAGAUCUAGUUGUUUCGUUCGAUGGAAAUGAAAAGCAAUUUUUCCAUCUGGGUGGAUCCAUUCAUGUCUCAGACAUGUUUUGACAUUGCUGUUUCAAAAGAGAAAUGCUACAUUUUUACCCGUUCAUUUGUGAUUGUAUUAUAUGUCAUACUUUGAAAUGCAAGUACAUGUGUCUUUUUGUACCGUUGAUAA